rnacentral:rRNA from 1 species
CCUACGGGAGGCAGCAGUAGGGAAUAUUGCGCAAUGGGCGAAAGCCUGACGCAGCGACGCCGCGUGAGGGAUGAAGGUCUUCGGAUCGUAAACCUCUGUCAGCAGGGAAGAACGGGCACUGUGCUAAUCAGCAGUGACUUGACGGUACCUGCAAAGGAAGCACCGGCUAACUCCGUGCCAGCAGCCGCGGUAAUACGGAGGGUGCGAGCGUUAAUCGGAAUUACUGGGCGUAAAGCGCGCGUAGGCGGUAUGUCAAGUCAAGGGUGAAAUCCCCGCGCUCAACGUGGGAACUGCCUUUGAAACUGGCAGUCUGGAGUGUGUGAGAGGAUAGUGGAAUUCCAGGUGUAGGAGUGAAAUCCGUAGAUAUCUGGAGGAACAUCAGUGGCGAAGGCGACUAUCUGGCACAUAACUGACGCUGAGGAGCGAAAGCGUGGGUAGCAAACAGGAUUAGAUACCCUAGUAGUC